rnacentral:lncRNA from 1 species
CGGUCGGCAGGACCCUUGCGGAGUCUGUCGGAGGCGGGCUCAAGUUCAGGGCUGGGGACUGGGACCGAGACGCGGGGAUCCAGAAAGCAGGGGAGGCGCGCUAGUGGCCGGGGGCGGAGAGCUUGGGUGGGAGUGAAGGUUGCACACAGGCGCGCGCCCGCGCGCGGGCACACACACACACACACACACGCACGCACGCCCGAGAAAGGGCUGAAUGAUCUGAGUGACUGAAGCUGGCUCCGCACCCCCGCACUUCCGGGGGACAGAGCGAUGCGGGUUAAAAGGGUUGUGUGCGCCCUGGGUGUGGGAGCACGUAAGUGCGUUGAAGUUGAGCGGGUUUGAGAGUAGCCCUCCAAGAUGAGUAUGCUUGGAAGUUUAGUUUCGGAGAAGGAUCUGCGCCGCAGUGUGCUGUACCUGGAAACCAGAGAUUUGCGGUGUUCGGAACCGACUCAUCAGGGUCCCCGGCACAACACUUUAUUCUCUGGACGUGCCGGGGGAGGGGUGUUCGCUUUGCCUCCGAGGGACCCCUCCUCUAGGUGUGAAAGAUGCUAGCCCAGCGCCCAUGGGGUGUCGAAAGCAACAUAUAAAGGUUCGAAACUCAGGAAACCUCGGCGAUCGCCUGCGCUAGCACAUACACACGGUCCCGCGCACACUCAGUCUGCGCCCGCCCUUCCUCCCUCCCUGAUUUGCUUCUGGGAAAACAAGCCUUGAGAGCUGCGGACUCGCCCCAAGUCACGGUGCUUAAGCAGGAGUCCCUGGUAGAAACAGGCUGAAAACUCCCCUCCCCGCUCACUGGUGGAGUCAUAUCCUGUGCGGCCUCUAGGAAGCGCUAGACACAUAGGAGGAAAUAGCUCGCACCAGAUGGUUAUUUGCCACUUGAACUGGAGAGGAGGAGAGAUUGCAUCUACAACCGCCUUGAAUGUGCCUGAUCUUGUCUGAUCUCAGAAGCUAAGCAGGUGGUUCCCCAGACCCUGUUCAACUGUCCCGCAGGCCGGGACAGAAGCCAGCUAAGGUUGCUUGAUAGAAGGCUGAGAAAGAAUGAGGCUGCUGAGUGAAGCCAGAGGGAGAAUACGCUCAAAGACAAGCAGUGUCACUGAAUGGAGACAGUUGGAUUUUUAGGACAUUGCUGCAUGGGCACUGGGCCCUUCCAUAUCUGGAAGACUCAGAACUCCACACACGACAUUUAUGGGACCCCCUCUGCCACAGCCACUGUGGUCUAUGGCAGUAAAUCCACUGAGCUAUUAGAUAUUUUUGUUGGUAGUGGUGUUGGUGGUUUAUUUGUUGUGUUUAUUAUAUCUGAGCCAAUCAAAGAAAUGUAAUAAACAAUAAUUUCUUAAG